CUGGGACUCAGGCACAGUAAGUGAGAGCUUGCUCCCGUGAUAGUUAGCGGCGGACGGGUGAGUAACACGUGGGUAACCUGCCUGUAAGACUGGGAUAACUCCGGGAAACCGGAGCUAAUACCGGAUAGUUCCUUGAACCGCAUGGUUCAAGGAUGAAAGACGGUUUCGGCUGUCACUUACAGAUGGACCCGCGGCGCAUUAGCUAGUUGGUGGGGUAAUGGCUCACCAAGGCGACGAUGCGUAGCCGACCUGAGAGGGUGAUCGGCCACACUGGGACUGAGACACGGCCCAGACUCCUACGGGAGGCAGCAGUAGGGAAUCUUCCGCAAUGGACGAAAGUCUGACGGAGCAACGCCGCGUGAGUGAUGAAGGUUUUCGGAUCGUAAAGCUCUGUUGUUAGGGAAGAACAAGUGCGAGAGUAACUGCUCGCACCAUGACGGUACCUAACCAGAAAGCCACGGCUAACUACGUGCCAGCAGCCGCGGUAAUACGUAGGUGGCAAGCGUUGUCCGGAAUUAUUGGGCGUAAAGGGCUCGCAGGCGGUUUCUUAAGUCUGAUGUGAAAGCCCCCGGCUCAACCGGGGAGGGUCAUUGGAAACUGGGAAACUUGAGUGCAGAAGAGGAGAGUGGAAUUCCACGUGUAGCGGUGAAAUGCGUAGAGAUGUGGAGGAACACCAGUGGCGAAGGCGACUCUCUGGUCUGUAACUGACGCUGAGGAGCGAAAGCGUGGGGAGCGAACAGGAUUAGAUACCCUGGUAGUCCACGCCGUAACGAUGAGUGCUAAGUGUUAGGGGGUUUCCGCCCCUUAGUGCUGCAGCUAACGCAUUAAGCACUCCGCCUGGGAGUACGGUCGCAAGACUGAAACUCAAAGGAAUUGACGGGGGCCCGCACAAGCGGUGGAGCAUGUGGUUUAAUUCGAAGCAACGCGGAGAACCCUUACCAGUCUUGACAUCCUCUGACAACCCUAGAGAUAGGGCUUUGCCCUUCGGGGACAGAGUGAC
rnacentral:rRNA from 1 species